UCUUACGUGGUAGACUAGUGUUAUUCAUGUUUAAUCGGUUUAAAGGGUACCUAGACGGUAGAUCAAGCUUUCUAAUAAAGGAAAAGGACUAAUUUACUAGAGUUACUUAUGAGGGGGUAUUAAAGUACUGCUGGUGUAGAGAUGAAAUUCUGUCAUACCUCUUUUCAAAAGAAAAACCAUGGCACAGGUAUAGGCGAAGGCAUCCCCUUAUGUGAUAACUGACGUUGAGGGACGAAGGCUUUGUGUAGCGAACAGGAUUAGAUACCCCAGUAGUCGAAGCAGAAAAUGAUGAAUGUCAUAGAUUAGAUAUAUAAGUUUAUUCUAUAAAUGAAAGUGUAAGCAUUCCACCUCAUGAGUAAUUUGGCAACAUUGGAACUGAAAUCAUUAGACCGUUUCUGAAACCAGUAGUGAAGUAUGUUGUUUAAUUUGAUGAUCCGCAAAAAACCUUACCACAAUUUGAAUAUUUAUAUUCUUUAUUGUUUUAUUAUUAAUUUUCUUGAACGUAAAGAUCACGUAAAAGAAAAAAGAAAUGCAUGAUAAUAGUAAGAAAAUUAAUAAAGAGGCAAUAAGAUAUAUUUACAAGCGUUGCACGGCUGUCUUCAGUUAAUGUCGCGAGACUUUGGUUAGUUCCAUUAAAUUAACGUAAACCCCAUUACUUUAUUUUUAUAUAGAG
rnacentral:rRNA from 1 species